rnacentral:misc_RNA from 1 species
GGCAAAGCUUGCAUAUUUUGGAUGCCAAUUAAAGAGCACAACCCCAUAGAAAGCCAACUAUCAAGUAGCUGCAAUUGUCCUCAGUAGAUUGGUAUGUCCCUUCAAAUGCUGAUGCAAAAUCAUCAUGUUCUAUCAGAUGGCAGUCAUGAGACGCCAAAUAAUUUAAUUCUUCUUCAAGAAUAAAACUUUCAUAAGUUUCCAAUAGGGUUUAAUUUUUUGAUGGAUGCGUCCAGUAAUCUGCAGCUUUCAUGUUUUCG